rnacentral:lncRNA from 1 species
UGCCAGUGGAUAGAUCCAUGAUCACAUUAAGGGCCUCCAUGUGAUCAGGAGUAGUUAGAAAUGUGAUACCCCAACUUAAGCCAGGCAGCUAACAUCCCAUGGGGUCCACAGAGAAUGCUUGAUAGCACCAGAGAAGGUGAACAGUGUGAAGACAGCCACGUGUCCUGCCUGUGUGUAGGCCAGAACAUCUAAGGUCCUAGAAGGUCUGGAAAACAGCCUCAUAGCUUGCAAGUCAUCUAAACCAGCAGAUGUGGGCCUUCUUGGACUGGUGGUACCUCCCUUGAAGCCGUUGGAGGAGCAUUUCAGGUAGGCAGAAUUGCCCCUUGACUGAUGUUUAUCCCCAGCUGCAGUAGAGGAAGUGCCAGCUCAGGUGCUCACAAUGACCUUGGUGAAACCCUGCCAGGCACGAAUUGAGCUGUGACUAUGAAGCAGGGAACGUAAGGGAACGAUAGGAGGUGGGUAGGUAAAGCACCUCUCAGAGAAGGCACGUGAUGCUAAGAGCGUCCAGCAGGGUGUGGCUCAGUGGUGAAGCACCUGCUCAACAGGGGCAAGGCCAUAGAUUCAGGCCCCAGCGAUACAGGAAUUGUUAGUUGUGCCUGGGCCAAUCAAGUCAGGCUGGGCAACUCAUCCUCAGUAGGCCAAUUAUGAUAUAAUGAAAAGCAACAAAAGGAAAUCUCUGCCAUGUGGCCACACUGGGAAAGGGAGCCAGGGAGUCCUGUAAGUACUCAGGAUCCUGACAUGAGCUUUAAGUAGAGGGCAAGAGAUAGACACCACUGAGUAGUCCUGAUCAAAGUGUGGUGCCAGCCAUCAUUGUCUGUCUCUGCCCCAAUCUGUCCUGCAAGGUGGUCCGAGAGCUGUUGAAACUGUGGGAAUCUGAGAGACGAGCUCCUCUUCAUGCUGGCGCCAGACUUCAGCCCUUUCCUUCCCACAGCAUGAGAGGCUCCUGGAGAAAUUCCAAAAGUCUUGGGGUCCAUUGUCUCAAGAUUCUGAUAGUCAAAGGGGAGGGGCACUUUGUGUCUUUUUAGUUAGAAUAUUACCACAAUAAGCCACAAGAUGAAGCAGUUGCCCUUUCCCUGACCAUAGAAAGGACUCCCAUGUGCAGAAUAUUGUCUUUCAUCUAUAGUGGCCAUUGAGAAUACCACGCCUUAGAAGCCAGAGAUUGACUGAGUCUUCAAGACUCCUGCAGCAGCCCUUCCUGGAGAAGGUUGGGGUGUGUGAACAGUGGGAAGAGGACCAUAUAGACAUUCAUCUGAAUUACAGCUGCCCACCUCCUUGGCACCAGCCAUGGGCACUGCAUUCCUUAAAGCUCUCAUUAAUUGUGUAAGUCAAACUUUGCCCCUCCUUAAAGUAACAGCUUACACCUUUAAAGUGUUCAAUACCAGAAGCUUAGAGAGGGUGGAGAGGUAGGGUGGCAGCUGCUGGGUCUUGCAGGCUUAAUAGAGACCAGAGACCAAAUUCUAAUCGCUCCAUUUCUGCCUGCUAUAUAGGGUGGAGUAUAGGAAGAUAUCAUAUUAUGCUUUUAUUAU